rfam:Nosema apis BRL 01 unplaced genomic scaffold scf7180000046991, whole genome shotgun sequence.
GAUCUCGUGGCGCAAUGGUAGCGCGUCGGAUUCCAGUCCCGAAGGUUUCAGGUUCAAGUCCUGACGAGAUCA